AAUCAACGCUGGCGGCGUGCCUAACACAUGCAAGUCGAACGAGAAAGGGGGCUUCGGUCCCUGAGUACAGUGGCGCACGGGUGAGUAACACGUGACUUAUCUACCCUCGAGUGGGGGAAUAAACUUCGGGAAACCGAGGCUAAUACCGCAUAAUACCCACGGGUCAAAGGAGCAAUUCGCUUGAGGAGGAGGUCGCGGCCGAUUAGUUAGUUGGCGGGGUAAUGGCCCACCAAGACGGUGAUCGGUAUCCGGCCUGAGAGGGCGCACGGACACACUGGGACUGAGACACGGCCCAGACUCCUACGGGAGGCAGCAGUGGGGAAUUUUGCGCAAUGGGGGAAACCCUGACGCAGCAACGCCGCGUGGAGGAUGAAGUCUCUUGGGACGUAAACUCCUUUCGAUCGGGACGAUUAUGACGGUACCGGAAGAAGAAGCCCCGGCUAACUUCGUG
rnacentral:rRNA from 1 species